rnacentral:rRNA from 1 species
AGAGCGAACGCUGGCGGCAGGCCUAAAACAUGCAAGUCGAACGAACCCUUCGGGGUUAGUGGCGGACGGGUGAGUAACACGUGGGAACGUGCCUUUUGGUUCGGAACAACUCAGGGAAACUUGAGCUAAUACCGAAUGUGCCCUUCGGGGGAAAGAUUUAUCGCCAUUAGAGCGGCCCGCGUCUGAUUAGCUAGUUGGUGAGGUAAAGGCUCACCAAGGCUACGAUCAGUAGCUGGUCUGAGAGGAUGAUCAGCCACACUGGGACUGAGACACGGCCCAGACUCCUACGGGAGGCAGCAGUUAGGAAUCUUGCGCAAUGGGCGAAAGCCUGACGCAGCCAUGCCGCGUGAAUGAUGAAGGUCUUAGGAUUGUAAAAUUCUUUCAGCGGGGACGAUAAUGACGGUACCGCAGAAGAAGCUCCGGCUAACUUCGCGCCAGCAGCCGC